GACAUAGGGUGCAAACGUUGUUCGGAAUUACUGGGCGUAAAGCGUGUGUAGGCGGCUAUGUAAGUCGGAUGUGAAAGCCCCAGGCUUAACCUGGGAAGUGCACUCGAAACUGCGUAGCUAGAGUAUCGGAGAGGUUGGUGGAAUUCUCGGUGUAGAGGUGAAAUUCGUAGAUAUCGAGAGGAACACCGGUGGCGAAGGCGGCCAACUGGACGAAUACUGACGCUGAGACACGAAAGCGUGGGGAGCAAACAGG
rnacentral:rRNA from 1 species